ensembl:lncRNA
UUAACGACAUGCUCACUUUACUUGGACGUUUUCUAAUCGUCUUCUUUGGAAUAUGCUUUCAAGGUCUGUGAAGCCAAACUUGAUGCUGGGGAUUUAUUUUUGUCAGUGGAGUCAAAUGAUUUCAAGACAGAGCUUAUUGUUCUCUGAACUUCCUUGUUUGCUGAACGGCAGGUAAAGUGCAUCUUUUUGUUUGUUUACUUUUGUGUGUUUGUGUUUUCUCUAAUGGGCCUCAGAUGACUGUUUGCUUAAAUUUGGGUCUCAAAGAAUCUUUUUUUUAUUCUGUCUGUACUCUCCACCCCUCUUCUUCUAUUGCUCAGGUUGAAGCAGAAUUUGCCCGCCUUACAUCUGUUGACCUGAAAGGGUUCCUUUUUGCUGUGCUUGACCAUUAUGGAGAGGUUCGUGGAGCUGUACAAAAUCAAGAGCGGCAU